GGGAUCUUUACAGCAAAUAUGAAACAAAGAAACUUAAGCCAUGGGGAUGGAGUCUUUCUCUGGGACUAGCAGCAGUUCCAGCUCUAUUGAUUACAGUAGGAGGAAUACUUCUGAAAAAUGUUGAUGCAGAAUUUCAGGACAUGCUAGAUGCGAGUGAGCUGGCUAACUCGAUCAAGCAUCCCUUAAGAAACAUCCUGAAAAGGAGGAACAGACCACAAUUGUUAAUUGCAGUCUUCAUGCCAGCAUCUUUAGUGCUGUUUCAGAGCAUGCGAUUUGAAGGAAAUGCUUCCCUGUACUCAGCAGUGACUGGGCAGUUCUUUGUUCCUCUACCUUCAUUUCUCUGUUAAC
rnacentral:misc_RNA from 1 species